GAAGUUAGAAUUACCUGUAAUCAUCAGGAAAACCAGCGGUCUUGAAUGUGUGAAAAUGACAACCACCUACUUACAAGUUUGCUACUGAACAGCCUAGAGCAGGAGUUGGAGUGACUCAGAGCAGGAAAAGCUGUGCAGCAUUCUCUCCGUGCAUGAAUUUGCAGAGAUAAUGAGCCUCAUUCUGGUCUUCUGAGUUUAGCUCCGCUGAUUUCAUGGUUUCCACUGGUGCAAAUCAGAUCUGGGCUGAUGUCUCUGACUACACCCAGGAGAAGAAAACUCUGUCGUGUCUCCAUGUUAAAAUGAGUGGAAAUUGAACUUAGGGGGAUUUAGCAUGUGAUUACUUUUUUUAGACAGGAUUUUCUUCUUAGCUGAAUUGGAUUGUGUCUUUUUUCUCCCAAAACAGAUGAUUACUAUUCCCUUUAUGCAAGGGGAAGUUUUGGAGGAGUUUGUUUCUCUGGCUAUGUGGAUAUUGACGUUACCGUGCAAGGUGGUAGAAGACUGUGCAUCUGCAGAAGGACACGUAGUGCUGCUGAGUGCUGCUGCAUGGGCUGGCAGGUGAGCCGCAUCUGAGGUCAGACUGCAUGCUGGGAGGAGCGUGAACUUGUGUGGCCAACACUGCCUAUGUGUUACGCGCUGCGCUCUGCAGGCUGUACCUCUUGACAUACCUCAUCAUGGUUAUGAACAGCCAUGUUUUUCAUAACUGGUAGUUGCUUUAUUAUGGUACCAGAAGGAAAUAAAGGUACUA
rnacentral:lncRNA from 1 species